rnacentral:miRNA from 1 species
UACGUCGAAUAUCGACGUCAUAAAUACCAAAGUUGAUCGUCUUUAUGACGUCGAAUAUCGACGUCAUAAACACCUAAGUUGAUCGUGUUUAUGAAGUCGAAUAUCGACGCCAUAAACGCAAACGUUUAUCGUGUUUAUGAAGUCGAAUAUCGACGUCGUCAACACCAAAGUUGAUCGCGUUUAUGAAGUCGAUUAUCGACGUCAUAAACACCAAAGUUGAUCGUCUUUUGACGUCGAAUAUCGACGUCAUAAAUACCAAAGUUGAUUGUGUUUAUGACGACGAAUAUCGACGUC